rnacentral:lncRNA from 1 species
CAACGGUCUAAUCUAUAUAAACAAAACGAGAAACGAGAAACACGCAUAUAUUACAUAAACAAACGACAACUACUGUACAUCAGAUUCCUGACUUAGGACAGGUGCAAACAUUUGCAGCGGGAUUAAACGUUUUAAUGGAUCCAAACCUUCUCCCUUUUUUGAAACAAUAGCAUAACAUCACAACAAAGAAAAACAUACGAUAAAAUAUCAAUUGGCAG